AUUGAACGCUGGCGGCAGGCCUAACACAUGCAAGUCGAACGAGUGGCGGACGGGUGAGUAAUGUCUGGGAAACUGCCUGAUGGAGGGGGAUAACUACUGGAAACGGUAGCUAAUACCGCCUACCAUCGGAUGUGCCCAGAUGGGAUUAGCUAGUAGGUGUGGUAAAGGCUCACCUAGGCGACGAUCCCUAGCUGGUCUGAGAGGUUGACCGGCCAAACUGGAACUGAGACACGGUCCAGACUCCUACGGGAGGCAGCAGUGGGGAAUAUUGCACAAGGGGGGCAAGCCUGAUGCAGCCAUGCCGGGUGGAGGAAGAAGGCCUUCGGGUUGUAAAGUACGUUCAGCGGGGAGGCGUUACCCGCAGAAGAAGCACCGGCUAACUCCGUGCCAGCAGCCGCGGUAAUUC
rnacentral:rRNA from 1 species